rnacentral:misc_RNA from 1 species
AAAAAGUCUCAGACUUUUGUUAGCUUCUUUGGUCAAGAACAAGGAGCAAGUUGAAAGGAAACCAUGGAGCCAAUCCAUUGGUUUGAAGAAACUGCGGGCCUGAAGACCCAAUAGCGGGCCGAAUUGGUCUAUAGCUUUGAGGCUUUUCAUACAUGUAUCCCCUUUCCUUACUUUCAACGCCGACCCUUCUCUCUCUUUUUUUUCUUGCUCCACUCUACGAAGAUCAUUGAACGGUGCAGGUGUUAUCGGAAAAUGGAGAUUAAACAGCUGUCCUUUGCAGCUGAUAGCCCUCCACUUUCAGUUCUUGCCUCCGCCAAGGUUGCUGCCGUCGUUCUUCCUACGCCUACUAUCGUCACCGACUCUUCUUCGCCUCCCACUAUUAUAUUCUCUGAUGGGACGAAAUUGCAAGGUACUUAUGUGCUUCUUCGCUACAUUGGUCGGGUUGCUAGCCUUCCCAAUUUCUAUGGAGAAGACGCUUUCCAAUCUAGCCAGAUUGAUGAAUGGCUGGACUAUUCUUCUAUCCUUUCAUCUGGGUCUGAAUUCGAGAAUGCAUGUACUUACAUUGAUAGUUAUUUGGAGAAGCGUACUUUUCUGGUUGGAUAUUGUUUAUCAAUUGCAGACAUUGCGAUUUGGUCAGGUCUAGCAGGUAUUUGCUUCAGCUAUCACCUGAAAUUUAUUUUACUGUGUCAUUCAUUGCUGAACAUCUAUGCCACUUGCACAGUGAAGCAUUAGCAAUUUCCAACCAUUUCCAUGGCUAUAGAUUAAUUGGUUUGACAAUAAUCCUAAAAUAUCAAGCAAAAGAGCAAAAAAGGGAAAAAAAAACAAUUGUUAUUGUUAUCAUGGUAAUGGUAAUAUCAUGUACUGUGAUGAGCCAUUUCCAUUUUUUCAAUUUGUGUUUUAAAAUGUCCAAAUUUUGGUUGCUUAAUGAAUUUUUUCAGAGAUCUAGAAUACUCUAUUCUUUGCAGCGACUGGGCUGAGAUGGGAAAGUUUGAGGAAGUCGAAGAAAUACCUAAACCUAGUACGUUGGUUCAACUCAAUAUCUAUAGAAUAUAGUGAUGGCUUGAAUGAAGUCACAACAACAUAUAUUGGGAAAAGAGGCUUGGGAAAACCUGUGACAGUUAAAUCGAAAGAGCUACAGGUUGUCAAUGGAGAUAUCUCUGAAAAGGGAAAGGUAGGUAGCAAAACACCUGAAGUUGAUCUUCCAGAUGCUGAAAUUGGGAAGGUGUGCCUACGAUUCGCUCCAGAGCCCAGUGGUUUUCUUCACAUUGGGCAUGCAAAAGCAGCAUUAUUGAACCAAUAUUUUGCUCAACGUUACCGAGGUGAGCUAAUUGUUCGCUUUGAUGAUACAAAUCCUGCGAAAGAAAGCAGUGAAUUUGUGGAGAAUCUUCUGAAAGAUAUUGAGACACUGGGCAUCAAAUUUAAAAAAGUUACACAUACAUCAGAUUACUUUGAUAUGUUGAUGGAAAAGGCUGAAGAGUUGAUCAAGCAGGGUAAAGCUUAUGUUGAUGACACACCACGUGAGCAAAUGCAGAAAGAAAGAAUGGAUGGCAUUGAAUCAAAAUGUAGGAACAAUAGUGUGGAGGAGAGUCUGAAAUUGUGGAACAAGAUGAUUAAAGGAUCAGAGAGGGGUUUGCAGUGCUGUCUUCGUGGGAAGUUAGACAUGCAAGACCCAAACAAAUCCCUUCGAGAUCCGGUCUAUUAUCGUUGCAAUCCUGUCCCUCACCAUCGAAUUGGGUCCAAGUACAAUAUAUAUCCAACAUAUGACUUUGCCUGUCCCUAUGUUGAUGCCAUAGAAGGUAUAUCUCAUGCUCUUCGAUCAAGUGAGUACCAUGAUCGAAAUGCUCAAUAUCACAGGAUUCAGGAAGAUUUGGGAGUUAGAAAGGUUCAUAUUUAUGAAUUUAGCAGGUUGAACAUGGUCUAUACACUUCUUAGUAAGCGUAACCUUCGCUGGUUUGUUGAAAAUGGAAAGGUUGAUGGAUGGGAUGAUCCUCGAUUUCCAACUGUCCAAGGAAUUGUACGUAGAGGUUUGAAAGUUGAGGCAUUAGUGCAAUUUAUUCUUGAACAGGGGGCAUCAAAAAAUCUCAACCUCAUGGAAUGGGACAAACUUUGGACAAUUAAUAAGAAAAUCAUAGAUCCUGUUUGUCCCAGACAUACUGCAGUUAUUGAAGAAAGGCGUGUGUUGUUGACCUUGACUAAUGGUCCUGAGAAUCCAUUUGUUCGUGUCAUACCAAGGCACAAGAAGCAUGAGGGUGCUGGAGAGAAGACCACAACCUACACAAAGAGGAUAUGGAUAGACUAUGAUGAUGCAAACUCCAUCUCAGAAAAUGAGGAAGUAACCUUAAUGGAUUGGGGGAAUGCCAUAGUGAAGGAAAUUGUGAAGGAUGAGAGUGGAAAUGUUACACAGUUGAUUGGGGUUUUGCAUCUUGAAGGAUCUGUCAAGACAACAAAGUUGAAGCUUACUUGGCUUCCUGAGACAACUGAAUUAGUUAACAUCUUCCUGAUGGAGUUUGACUAUCUGAUAACAAAGAAAAA